AUGUUACUCUUGCUGCAACUGAUCCUCUCCUUCCACUGUGCGACCUCGGUGACUAUCCGCCAGAUCCCGGCCUUCUCCGGAUCUCCCGGCCAGAAGGUGACGUUGAAUUGUCAUAUCGAGGGGAGUAGCAAAACUGAUGAUACGUUGCUCUGGUACAGACAGUACCCGGGCAAAGGGCUUGAGAACAUGUUUUACUCUGGAGCCACCAAGAUCGUGAGUCCAGAUGUAUCGGUGGACGGUUUUACGGCAGAGAGACCAAGUAGCUGCGUCUUCAGGCUGAAGUCCACCGGCUUGGUGGCGAAUUCGUCGGCCGUGUAUUUCUGCGCCUGGCGUAAUCACAGCGACUCAGACAGACGGGGAAUCUGA